GGCCUUCUGCCUCGGCAGCCACUUGCCUGGUCCACGCCCCGAGGCCUCUGUUUUGCGGAACAGCGGCGAUUAGAGGGUGAGUCCUGAGGCUUGGACGCACGGCCAGGCGUGAUGGAGGCCCCACGUGGACACCAGGCCAGGCUGUGCCUGAGGCCCCCAGAGGGAGACAGAGGUCGAGGAGGGUUGUGAGCCUGCAGCCUAGUGCCCACUGUUCAGAGACAGGCGAGGACAGAUCAAGGACACACGCCUGCCCAGCAGGAAGCCAGGGAGAGCCCAGAGCAGCUCCAGAGCACUCCCAGGGCUGGGCUCUCCUUGGGCCCCAGAUGCAAGCCCUGGUCCCUAAGCCGCUAAGAAGGAAGAGAUGGGCCGGGCACACCUGGGGCAGGGCCUCGGCAACUGCAGCAGGACCGCACGCCGGCUGGCAUCCUCGUCCCGAGAGCUGACCGGAGACACCCAACAUCUACCUCCCACAGCUGCACAGCCUGCACCGCCCCCACCUCUGCUGGGCAGCCAGACCGAGGACAGAGACGGGGCGGGGGGUCCACAGGUUGUUGCAGCUCACACCAGCCGUGUUGGGGAGAAACGAAAAGGGGGUUCACCCCACAGAAGUGACGAUGAACAGUAGGGGCCAGGGCAGCAGGUGAGGAGACACAGACUGGCUGGAGCCAGGUGGACAGGUAGGAAGGCAGAAGACACAGCAGCACCAGAGCCGAGGACGGGGACAGCAGGGCUGAGGCUGGGAGGGACGAUUCAGGAGGCAGUUUGUGCCUUCUCCUUCCCGGGAAGUCCCUGCUCCCCUCCCCACCCCCCACCCCUGUCAAUAUGGCCACCAAUGGCCAGGGCGUCCUCCUCCUCCGCCCCUUGGGCCGCCCUGCACCAGUUACUGACACCUGUCCCUCUGUCUCUCCCCUCAUUUCCUUACUUACCGCCCCCCUCAAUGCCGACCCCAACCUCGCCCUCUUCAGCUCUAGUAGCCGUGUUAAGCAGUGUGUUUGGCCAGCCUUUCUGCCUAGGGAUUUCCAGGGCCUGUGGGGGCCAAGGCCCCCUCAGGGGCUCCAGAACCUCUGCCCAGCCUCCCGCCUCCCUGGGUGGCUUCACAUACAGGCAGGGCAAGCCUGGAGGGCACUGGGACGAACGGUGACCUUGGAGAGGAAGCCUGGACGCUCAUGGGGGCAGGUGGAGCCAGCCUGGUCCUCACAGCCUCCAGCAGCCCUGACUGGGGGGUGGGGGGCGGCGCCUGGAACACCGGGACAGCCACCACGACCUUGUGUGUCCCAGUCACACUGAAGGGGCUUUUUGCAAAGUCCCCAAAAGCCAGCAGCAGUGGCGCCUGGACCCAAGCCAGCACCCCACCC